CGGGACAUCAAGCCUUGUUGCCACGUCGCACCACGGCACUGUCCCAAAACCAGGUCUGGGAGGAGGAUUCCCAGGACUGCAAUAUUUCCUCCAUCAAGGUCUGGAACAGGCAAGUGCUUCUUUGAUUUGAACGCUAAUAAACACAAAGUGUCCAUAACACUCCCAUGUCUUUGAAGUCCCAGGUACCGGCCUUCUUUCUCCAAGCACACCUUUCAGCCAACGGUGAGGAGCUUAAACAGUUGUGGAUCCAGUGGGAAUCCCAAUGAAGCAGCAGUAGCUCUGAUCUCGCCCCCUCGCCUUUGUACACCAGAUGGGACACGCGGAGAGAGGUGUUGAAGAAGGUGUUGGGGCUCUUGAUGGAGGAAGACAGAGCAGCAAGUCUCAUACUCCUGGAAGACGCAUCCAGUUUGUCCUCCUGAAAGACCAGACAACACAGCCACAUGUGGGCUGGAGCCUACCCCAGCUGACUUUGGACAAGAGGUGAGUAGACCCUGGACUGAUCGCAAGUCAAUUAUUUUAUCUUGAGAAUGACUUUCUUUAAUUUUGGUGUUGAAUGCUGUAACUGUUGCUACUAAUAAUUCAUAUAAUUUGUUUUAUUUCUCUAAAAACAGAAUAAUAAGUUAAGUUCAUAAAAGGGAAUUCAAAUCAAAAUGCAUAAAGGUUCAUAAGAAGGCUAUAUUUAAAUUACUAUGGUUAAAAAUGUAAUGUCAUGCCUUUUUGUUAAGUUUGUGGGCAUACUUUUAUUUUGAAGUGUCUCGUUUGGUCUGUCGUCUGAUGUAAGGAAGCUACUUCCGGGUAUGAGUAGACAUUUUUCAUGCCAUGUGAAGGCAGAAAGAGAGAAACUGAUUGUCACAAAGACUAAAAAGUGUCACAAGGACUUCAAGCGUUUGGGCUAUAAGAGUCUGAAGAUCACAAUUUCCUCCUAAAAGAAGCAUGCAGGCCAACGAGGUAUUUGUUUGUCAUUUCUAUUUGUAUUUACUUCGGUAAAAUGUUCGAUCCACAUGCUGUGCAUGUUGUUAUUUUUACGUUUAUAACGUGCUUUAUUUUAUUUCAGUUUUCACGGUGAAUUUGAAGGG